CCCGAUGUGACAGUGAUUGACCAUUGGCAGC
rnacentral:piRNA from 1 species